ACGCGAUCAUACCAGCACUAAUACACUGUAUCCCAUCAUAAUUCCGUAGUUAAACGCGUUCGGGCGAGAGUAAAACUAGGAUGAGUGACCUCCCGGGAAGUCCUCGUUCUGCAUCCGUCUUUUUUUUUUUGGGUUUGAACCAUAUGACGCCAUAAAGUUUAGACCGUGAGGCCAAACUUGGCAUGUGAUACCUUUUCGGAAAUCCCAAAGAGAGCCCUCCGACCACCGAAGCAGGACAAUCGGUCAAAGUACCAUUUUUUUUUUCCAACU
rnacentral:sRNA from 1 species